rnacentral:lncRNA from 1 species
CCACUUCUUCAAUUUUAGUAUAUCCAAUAAUUGAGAACACAAUUCUAGUUGAAAUAUCAUCAGGUGAAAAAAAAAAAUUGCUAAUUGUUCCUUAGCAAGCUAGCCCACCAUUUUAUAAAUAUCUUGGAUUUUGACAAAAACUAGGUCAAACAUUUAAUUAUUCUCAUUAGAUAGUUAAAAAGAAGGAAGAAAAAGAAAGGAGAAGAAGCUAGAAAAAGAAACUGAGAAACAUUCAAUUAACAAAAUUCCCAUAUCAUCAAAGAGGCCAAAAUUUAAUUUCAGAGCAGUACUAGUAGUACAUGACCAACAUUAUGAAAAAGAAAAAUGAAAAAGAAGUGACAAAAUCUUCUAUUGUUUAUACUACUAAUAUACACAGACGCACACACAGAAGGAGAAUAGUACGAGCUAAUAAUAAUAAUCUCAUCAUAUUGUGGAAGUUACUAGCAAGCCCUAGCUAAUUAAAUAUAUAAAAUGCUAAUUGAUUAAGGGUCACAAUAUUCGUAAUCAUGCCAGCAAACGAGCAUGACGACACAUCGCCUGAGAAUGUAAAAUCUUGCUCUUUGCUCCUUGACAAGGCUGCUGCAUCUUCUUCCAAAGGAUCUGCAGGGUUUACGCAAGUGCUUGCUGCAGAAGCCUGCAGCUGUUGAUGCUGCUGUGUUUUCUUGCUUAUUAUUCAUUGCAGAAAUUAAUGCUAUAUAUUUAAUUUCUUGUUGAUUGAUGUUUCUAUUUUGAAACUGCUCAAUUUCUGUUUCUAACUACAAUGGUAAGAGAAGGGGGAAAAAAGGCAGCAAGGUGAUGGGAAUUAGGAAAGAGGAAGAGAAAGAGAGAGAGAGAGAGAGACAUAGAAGGAAGAUUCUUUGCUGGUUUGGUGGUGAAGUUAGAAGGGAUUUUGGCCUUUAUACAAGUUUGAUUAGAUUAAGAGAUACCUUAGAUUAAUGGGAGCAAAGCUUUUUCUUGUUGAAAAGACGAUUUUAUCCCUAAUCAUUUCAUUUAAAUAUGGUACUUCUUGUUACAAGUUUUUAUUCUUUUAUUACGAAAAUUUUGCAUUAUAAAUCUCGAGUUUUAUCAUGACAUAAUAAUGCAAUUAGAAAUAAAAUUUGGAAUUUUCAUUAAAAAAGUUAGGUAUUUGUCUUUUUUAUUAAAAGAAAAUGCUAAGUUUAGUCUUUUUUUUUUUCUUAAGGUAACUUGAGCAAGCAACAAAUUAUAAGUAGGAAGCAAGACUAUAAAUAAAAUGAAGAGGGUAGGCAACCACCAAAUAAAUGAAGAAUUAGAGAUGGUAGAAAUUUUCAUGGGAUAGUCAAUAGGGUCUUGAAGUAUUUUUUUCUAUUCAAAGAGGGUAAGGGAAUAAUUUUAUAUUUAAUUUCUUAUUCGAAUAAGAGAUAGAGACAAUUUAAUACCCUUUUCCCCAUUUCCAUUGUCAUUUUUUUUCCUAAUUUUUUAAAUGCAUUUAAAUUUUUAAUUGUAAUAGUAUGGAUGUAAAUGGCAAAAACCAUAAUAUUUAUAAAAAUAAUAUAAUUAUAAAAAACAUCAAUUAUAAACUUUUGAGAAUUGAUGAAGAUAAUUGUGUUGAUAAUUUAUACCAUGUAAAUUUUAUGGAUGUAUUCAAUCAUGAAACUCUAUUUUUACUUAAUUUCAUAUAUUAUCUUAUAAUUUUGAUGGUAUCUACUUAGUUUGAUGGAAAUAAAUUUAAUUACUUUAGCUAAUUUUGGUGUUUUUGUGUUGGGAAUAGUCUAGGGGUGGUAAUCUAGGUUAGAAUUCGUCUAUUUGAUUUGAUUGAAUAUGAAAUAAAUGGCUUUGAAUUUGAAAAACAUGAUUCAUUUAAUAAAUUAGUGAUUCGAUUUGAGUCGGCAAAUAAAUGAAUCGAAUAGACGAAUACAUGUUUAAGGUUACUGAUUCAUUUAUUCAUUCAGAGUGCGUUUGGCACACUGUAUUAUAUUGCAUUAGUUGUGUUAUAUUAUAAUGUAUUCAAUUGUAAUGCAAUAUUAUGUUUGGUACAAUAUGUAUUGUAGUAUAUAUAAUAAUAUUUUAUAUCAUUAUUUAUAGCACUAUUAAUUUUAAAUUAAUAAUAUUCAAAUUUUUAUAUUUAAAGUAUUUAUUAUUAGUUAUAUUAAAUUGUUUAAUAAUAAUCAAUUUUUAUAUAUUAAUUACUAUAAUUAAAUAAUAGAUUAUUUAGUUAUAUUUUUAAUAUAAUAAUAUAAUAAUAUUAUUAAAUAAUAAAUUGUAAAUUUAUUAGUUUAUAUUAAUAAUUAUAAUGUAGUAAUAAAAGAAAAUAAAAAUUAAUAUUAAAUUAAAUUAAAAAGCUAUAUUUAUUUAACAUUGUAAUAAAUUGAAAAAAAAAACUAAUGCGACAACUACUGCAUUAGUGGACUAGCAAAACCCGACUGGGAGUUGGGUUUACCUAAUGCAACCACUUGUUUUGCAGCCAAACGUAGGGUUGCCUUGCAUAACCCAUGUAAUGAGGGGUGCUAAACACCCCCUUAUGAUUCGUUUAAUAAAUUGAUGAAUUUAAUUUGGAUAUUAAUUAUUGUUAUUUUGUAUUGUGAAGGAUUUAUAAUUUGCUGUUUAGAUGGUUGUAUAUUUUAAGAUUAAAAUAAGGUUUAGAUUAUUUGUAUUUCGUAGGAUGUUCAAUUUAUGGUCUUUUGUAUUUUAUUUUGCUUAAUAUUUGUUUAUUAAUUAUUAUUUUUGUAAACGAAUUGUAAAUGGAUUCAUAUUCAAUUCGUUUACUAGGAGCUAAAUCGAGUUUUAAAUCUUGAGAUUUCAAUUCGUUUUGUUAAACGAAUCGAAUUCGAAUCAUCUGAGUUUUAACCCUAUUCGUUUAAGAUUUAACUUUCUGUAGACCAUAAAAUCAUUCAUGCCCUAUUAAUUACGGUUGAUUAUUCAUUAGCACGAGGUUGGCUUAUGAUGUGUUUGGAAGCCCUCGGCCACACGAAAAUUUUACAGAGAGCCAACAAGGAAUUCGUUAAUAACCAGCCAUUUUGAUUCUUUUAAACAACUCAAUGAAUUUAAUUAUUUUUUUAGAAGGACCACAUAACCAUAGAUUAAACCUAUCCAAUUUUUUAAUUGCAAUGGUUGGCUAUUGACGGACUAGCCGUUAGCCUUCACCCAAGUAGCUAGGGUUCUCUUAAUAAAUUCCAUUUAUUUAAUUAAAUUCAAUAGUGUAUACAUCUACAGUCGAUCGUUAACUAGCAUAGACUGCAUAGCUAGUCAUUAUCACAGAUUCUUUUUACACAUUUGGUCCAAGGCAUUAUUAAAGAUGUAAGGUUAGCUAUUUAGAAUAUUUUUUAAUUUUUUGAUGGUAUUGAAAAUGAUUUUUAAUAAAUUCUUAAAUAGAAAAAUUAACAAGGAGGAAAAGGUAAUUUCCGCAAAUGGGAUGCACUGGCUUCCACUAUAACAGGAGCAAUCCAAUAUAUUUUAGUGAUUUUAAUCACCUUUUUUCAUAAAUAUUGAGGAGUUGAGAACUUGAGAUGGUGGUUAGAGAAUAACGAGGCUAUCAUCAUUAAAUUAAUAAUAAUUUUUCUGCUUUCCAAACUUUUAAAGGACAAAACUUGAGAUUUUGUUAGAAUUUCUUGAGAUCUUUUCUUGGUUACCUUAGUUGACUGAUGACCAAAUUAUGCUGAUUAAGCAAAUUGAGCGCAAGUUUUCACCGUUAGUUUAAUUUCAAUCAAUGCCGAUUUCAAGAUCUAACGAUGACAAACUUAAUUUAGACCUUUUUGUUUUUUUUUUUUUUAUCAGGACAUUUUUUUAAGGAUCUAUCAGAACAUAUACUGUAAGCUAAACUCUUUUCUAAUCUCAAAUUAUUUUACGUCACGCUAGAAAUUUCUAAUCAGAUAAAUUAAUUAAUACCAACAAUUAGUUUGAAAAUUUUAACAUCUGUAUCUUGUCUUUAAUACUUUUUUCUGAGGAGUAUUAUCAUUUCUAAUAGAUUGUAAUCGAUUGAAAAAAAAAAAAUUAUUAAGAUAGGACUUUUACUAAUGUAAACGAAACACCUUAUUUUGGUAUCACUAAAAAAUGCAUUAGCAUAGAAGUAAGUUUUAAAUAACUUUAUUUAGUUGGUUACCAGAAUUUGAAUGUUAGAGAGGUAGGGGAUUAGAAAAUAAGUAAUGAUAUUUGAUCUCUCAAUUUGCAUCAUCCCCCACACUUUUCAAUUAAUCUCAUUUAGUUUCAGAAUUUUUUAAAAAUUUUUAUUUGCACUCUCAUCUACACACUUCUUUUAGAGGAAUCACCACUGCACCCAACUUCAUCACCACUAAAUCCAUCACCAAAUAUUAAACAACUUUUAUUUUUAAUUUUUUAAUUUUUUAAUUUUAAUUUUUACUUUUUUUGUAAAACACUAUAAACAAAUUGGAUUAUAAAUCAAACGUCACAGUUUGUAAAUUUUACAUAUAAAUUUUACAUCUCUUCUAAGAUGUUUGUUGCAUCGACAAGGACUAUAAUUAUUAUAUUAAAUUAGAAAAAUUGUUGACUGUUAAAAUUUAUCUUAUCUUCUCAGUCUUCUUCUAUUAAGAUAGAUUGCUGUCAUCAAUCAAAGAAGUAGCCAAACACGUAUCCUUAUUAUAAGUACAAUCAUAGCUUAAAGGUGACUAAUGAACCGAACUUGCUUUGUCCUAAAUGCAAUUCAAAACCUAGAGAACCCAAUUCUUCACCGUAUUUUACCCAAAAAUUAAAAAAUAAAUAUUGUUCAAUUUCUUGAUAGAUUUGGUGGAGAUUCUUGAAAAAGAGAGAGUGCAUGUAAGAGAGAAAAGAAAAAGUUAAAAAAUAAAUAUUAAUUUUUUAUUUUUUAAUAGGAGUAAUUCUGAAAAUAAAUUAAGUUAAUUGAAAAGUGGGGUUAUUAAUACAAAUUAUGGGGGUCAAUUAUUAGAAUUAAGAUCCUCUCCUAAUCUGAUCUUUUAUGUAAGUAAAUACAUUCACAUGAUUGGUAAUUAAUAAAUGAAAAUAUAAUAAAUAAGUAAAUCUUGACUAUACAUAAAUAAAAGUAUAUAUGUGUUAGAAAAUCCUUCCAAACUCAAAGAAAAUCUGUCCAAACUCAAAUAUAAUCAGAUUAGAUUAUAGAAGAAUACUUUCUCUAAUUAUUGAGCCUCUUAAAAAAUUGACUUGGACUUUAUUCAUUCCGAAAGAAAAAAAAAACAAAAAAAGAAAAGGGAUAAUAAAAUUUUCUCUUGAAUUCUCCUAAAACCUAAUUGAUGCAUCGAAAAUUGCAAAAAAAAAAUUAUUUUUAAUAACUGGUUAUUAUUUCUGCCAGAUGUUGAAGAAAGCGUUGAAUCCAUUGUUUGAAUUUCGACCUUGGAGAUUGAAUUUGAAUGGUCUUUUUUAUUUUUUCUUUGGGUAGAAUGGUGACCUCAGAACCCAAAAAUUCCUUUCCAAAGUGAUCAACAUUCAAACAACAAUGCUGUAGAAACUUGAAAAAGGUUAUUAAUAAAAUUUAAUAACAUUUGCUUGCAUGUGGUGGAGUUUUCCAACACGUGCAGUGUUCAGAAUGUGAAACCAACACAACUUAACACUGCAGCCUCAAUGAUCAUUUUCAGAAAAUCACCAGCUGGUCGACAUUAUUUUUGACCAAUUUUGUUAAUUUUUUUUAAAAUUUUAUUCUGUUUCUAUGGAUAGAAUGAGGAUAAUUACUCCAGUUAGACGAUGGCUAGUAAAGCUCUCAUCUAUCACUGCGUUGAAAAAACCCUUGUUAUUGAUCUCCAGAUUUUCGUUUUUGUCUCUGAACGUAUAGAAUGUUAUAUACAAUAUUAAAAAAUUUUGAAGAGUUAGCAAACAUAACUUCUGUGGUCGAAUGUAAUCAAUUGAGGAUAUGUGGCAUUCAUAUGGAAACUACCCUUUUUUUUUUGCUAAAUAAAACUUGAAAAAUGCUUGUUGCUCUGAAAGUAAAGUCACAAUUGCUAAUUCCUUAGUUGCAAAAGUACAUUAACAAGUUAGCUCAAUUAUUGUUGUAAAAUUCAUUUAUGAAUUUAUGCUCCCAAUUUAGUUACAUGGAUUAUGUUUUGACCAUCGUAUGGUGUGUAUGAUAUGUAAUUAAAUCUCAGAAUAUUUCAAGAUUAAAUCAUAGCCAUGCAUAGUGAAUUAGUGAUAUUCCGUGGCCAUAACACGAGACAAGAGUGUCCCAUUGAAUCAAGAAAUUCUGUAUAACCAAGCAAUCGCAAAUAUUCUAUAUGGCCAAGCAAAGUUAUACCUAGGAAUCACACAAUAGUUACGUGAUCACCCACUCCCAUUUCACAUAUGAAUAGCGGUUCGAAGUCUAUUGUGGAUCAGUGGCAAAAAUAUUUUGCUCUUUUUAAAAAAAAUUAAAAUAAAAAGUGCAUAGAAAUAGUUUUAUGGUUUACAAAAGCAAAACUUAUUUGUUUCUCCUUUGUAAAAAAUAAUAUGAAAAAUAAGUAAGUCAAACACAAAUUACUAAAAUCCACAAAUCACUGCCCCGCUGCAGCACGCUUUGCUUUAUAAGGAGAAUUUUUUUUGCAUCAACAGUCCAGCGGUCACUGGGUUUGGGAGGGGGAUGCUAAUUCCGUUUGGAAAAUUUACAGUAAUAACCAUUAAAGUUUUGAAUUUUUUCAUCUUAACCCUCCAAAAAUAUUUCUACCAACAUUAGCCAUUAAACAACUUUUGAUACCAAAAUACCCCUCUCUCAUCUCUCCCCCAACACUCCCUUUCACUCAUCUCUCCCAAACCGAUCCAACUCCCAUCAUCGGCGGCGACAUCAACCCUCGUCGGCGGCGGCUCCAUCUCUCACCGGCAUCCGAUCUACGAUCUACAGCCUUCAACAAAACCUAGGUUAGUCAUUUUUCUUAUAUUCAUUAAUUUAAAAUGAGAUUUUAGAAUAAUAAUAGUUAUAGCUUGAGAAUAAUGGUGGUGGUGGUGGUGUUUGUGGUGGUUGGUGGUGUUUGGGAGUAUUGUUUUUCGAUUUUGAAGUGUUGUGGCUUAAUUUUGGGGGUGGGGAGGGAGGGGGGCAAGGGGUGCGUGCGCCCAUGCGCGCCCCACUGUCGCACCAAAAAUUAGAGUGUCCUUUUUUUUAACGAGUCAAUUUUUUUUUUUUUAAACGUAAUGUAAUAAUUUUAUAAAUAUUACAGAUACAUGGCGAAAUCAGAAUCACCGGAUAUUGAAGUAGGUAAGAUGUAUUUUCGUUAUGCCGAUCACUUUCCUGGUCGAAUUUCGAGCAUGUGUAAGUUAUCUUCGAUCGUAAAAGCCAUUGAGGGAAAAUUAACAAAGCGGCAGUUGAGUAUGUUAAAAAAGGAUAUAUUUGGACAUUUCUUGGAGUGUUGAAGUUUUCCAUUUAGUGGGGUAAUUUUGCACAAUCUUUUACUGAGGCAAGUGGCCCAUGAAGAAGAUAGCCGUGAGGAUCAGUUAUGGUUUCAAAUUGGUGAGCAUUUGAUUCGCUUGUCAAUUGUCGAAUGGUGCUUGGUUACUGGACUUUCAUUUGGUGUUGAUACCAAUAAAAAAAAUAAUGAAAUGGAGCAGAGGCUACGGAAUACGUAUUUUGGUGGUGUGCAUCGUAAGAUUAAUGUGAACGAAUUCGAUGCAAUAUUUAAGGAGUUGAAAUUCGAGGAAAUGGACGAUAUGCACGCAUUAAAGAUUGCGCUGUUUUAUUUUGUGGACAGAGUACUAAAUGCAAGAAAAAAUCACUGUCAAAUCAAUUUCGAUUGGCUUGACCAAGUUGAUGAUAUACAGUACUUCCGAAAGCGUCCAUGGGGUCUAUUGUCGUGGGAAAUGAUUUACGAGAGUCUUGACAAUGCACUGUUCGAGAAAGACAAGAAAUUUAAGAAGACUCGGUUGAAAAAUCUAGAUCAUAACAUUGAAAAAUACAAUCUUUACGGCUUUACGUCUGGGGUUCAGGUGUGUUUUUUUUUUGUUUAUUAAUAAGUUUUAUAGUAUUAAAUAUUUGAUAGUUGGUUUAUUUGAUUUUUCACUUUGGUUGUUGUAGGCUUGGAUUCACGAAGCAAUCGGAGGGUUUUUUUUUUUAUUACUAAGUUUUAUAGUAUUAAGUAUUUGAUAGUUGUUUUAUUUGAUUUUUCACUUUGGUUGUUCUAGGCUUGGAUUUACGAAGUAAUCGGAGGGUUGCCAUCAACAUGGGUCGUCAAAACGAAGAAUAAGAUUCCCCGCAUUCUGCAAUGGAAGCCCAUGGCGUCUUCGAGAAUCAACUUUGCGGAGGUUUAUUCGUUCUUCAACGACGAAUCUCGUCUUGUAAGUAAUAUGUAUUACUUAUUUUUUUAACUUUACUAAAUUUAAGUUAUGUAUACUUACUUAAAAUUUUCAAUUGAAUUUAUGGCAGGGGGACGUUUUACAAACUCUUGAGCCAAAUUCAAAGGAGAGUAGCAGAAAAUAUUGGCUCUCUGUGAAGGAUUACUUGCCAAGCAUUCCAGACUGGGUUUAUAAGGUUGGUAUACUCUAAGUACUAAAAAUUUUUUAAUCGAAAUUUUUUAUUUUUCAUUUACUAAUUUUAAAUGAUACUUUAUAUAGCACCAACCCUCAAUCAACGCGAUACCGUCAGUUACAAGGCAAUCAGACGAGCAUGACGAUCAUGACGACAUACUAAACCCAAUACCAAAGCAGCGUCAUGACACUUAUGAGGAUGAGGCCCCGACUGUUGAUGACCACCAGCAGCAAACAGACAACUCUGAUGACGCACGGGAUUCUGAGGUUAUAAAUAAUAUACGAUAUUUUUCCUUUAUAAAUUAUUAAUUUUUUAUUGUUAUUCUAAAAUAAGCUUGAUCGUAACGUGUAUGAAAUAAAGUCAUAAUUAAAAGAUUUUAAAAAAACUGUUGUUGGCUUCAUCGACACAUUUUCUAAACGUUCAAAUAAGGAUUCUCCCACUGCACACUCGUAUGCGGUGAGCAAAUUUAAAUUUAAUAAUUAUGUUCGUUUAACUUUUAAUUUGAUAGUUGUUUAAUAUGUUCUUCUUGCCGAAUGGACAGUCCCCGGAUGACUAUGGAGUGUAUAUUAACGUGGGCAAUGAAAAUUUGUCUACGCCCACGUCAUUGUAUAGUUUCUACGGGAAUGUUAGUGGGGAGAGCGUGCAGGUAUUCUCUGAGGUGCCUCCCGGCGUUAGUAAGUCCGGCCGCGCGUACAUACCGUCGUAUUCGCUUACGUGAUUCCUCUAGUCAGGCGAAGACAGAACGUCCGGCCUUUACCUCGACCCCAAAUCUUGGAGCAUGCGAUUGACAUGAGUACGACUGUGGAUAUAAAUCCACUGAGAGGAUUGGAGGACUCUAGUAUGUUUGCUGAGUUUGAUCGAUGGUUCGCUGGUGAUAUGACAGUGGUUCGGAGAGUCCGGCACCCGCGGUCAUUCUUUGAAAUAUUUUUGGGUUUAACUUCGAUGGGAUGGCUAGGCGAUGAGGUAAUUAUAUUUUCAAAGUUCUUUGAGUAAUGUGGAUUUGUAUAUAAAUAUUUUCUUUUAAAUAGUAAUGUUUAUGUUUCUCUACAGCAUAUUCACGAGUAUUUUCGCUUGAUUAGUGAGAAACAACGGCAGUAUCCGAAUGCCUUACUUCAACGUGUCACACAUACCGACACAUUUUUUUGGGUAACGUGCCAACAUAACGAACAUAAAUACUAUUUAUGUUUUUUUUAAUUAUCGCCUUUAAGUUUUGUUAAUUAAUGCAUUUCUUGGUUAUCAGUUAUGGAACAAUGGGGAUUGUGCGGUCGAUUCAUUAGAAUUCGACGACCGCUUGAAUAACUAUCUUUGUGGGCGACAGCACACAAGGUCCAAAUCGAUGACGGAUGUUGAUAUGGUAUGUAGUUUAUUGCAUUUCAUAUACAAGUUGUCGAUUUUUCUUAGUCCGACCUUUUCAAUUUCAUAUAUAACGAAGAUGUUUUUGAAUUUUUAUAUACAGUUACUCAUCCCUGUUAACUUGGACGGCGAGCAUUGGGUACUGGCACGAGUAGACUUUUGGAAAAAUAAAGUCUGGAUUUAUGACUCAUUACUCACAUGCCGCGACGACAAAAGAUCACAACAGGAGCGCGGAACUGGCGAUUGCGGUGUUUUUGUAUUGAUGGUUGCGAUCUAUUUAAUGUUCGGGCUUACAUUAGAGUUUACCGCGAGUCAUGUCGAGUACUUUAGAAAGAAGAUUGUGGUUGACAUAUUUAAUGACGAUAUUGUAUUGUAAACCGUUGUAGUAAUUUCAGUGUUGAAAUUUAAAUUUUUAUUCUAAUUUGCACACUUAAGUUUAUAUAAUUUGAAUGCUCACAUUUUAAUAUUCAAAAUAAAAAAAUCACAAUCACAUAUAAGUGUACAAUACACUAAAAAAAUAUAACAAUUUUAACCAACGAAUCAUUGAAACAAUACAACUAACUUCGAGUCGACGCAAUGGGAUUCUUACACCACUUAAGAUUAUGGCCCAGUUCAUGACACCGCCCGCAUCUUACAGUCUGCUGGUUAACGUCCUCGCCAGCCGAGGGUAUUUUGAGCUCUUUACUACGGUCAGGUGGUGGUGCCUCAACUGGAGGGUAUACUUGCAUCUCCUGAAUUUCAUCUGGAACUUCCCAAUCAGCCACAUCGCCAACUGGCUCCACUGGUUGUGCAUAAGCCAUCGCCAACCAUUCUGUAGUGUAAAAGUCCAAGCAAAGAUUAAUAUAAUCCACCCGGUGUGUUAGACACGCCGCAAUUGCAUAAGCAUAUACAAGCUGAUCAGAUAUAAUUACCAACUCAGGUCUAUUGCCAAUCACUCCGUGUAACUUCAUCAUAAACCAUUCCCAAGCAUCAUUGUUUUCUGAAUCCAUGAUCCCAAUGGCUAACGGAUACAAUUGAUUGUUACCAUCAAGACAUGUUGCCACGAACAUGCUUCCACGAUAUAGCCCCUUGAGAUAAGUACCAUCUACAGCAAUGACAGGUUGAAUGUACUGCAUAAAACCCUUGAUGGAAGAUCCGAGUGCUACAAAAUAGUACAAGAAAUUAUCAUCUCCAUCCUGCUAGAUGUGAGUGACUGUACCCUCAUUCGCUGUAGUUAGUACGUGAGAGUAUUUAGGGAGCAAGUUGUAUGACUCUGCAGGGUUGCCUCGAACUAUUUUAAGACCAACUUCUCUCGCCCGAUAUGCCUGCUGGUAUGUUAACUGAACACCGUAUUCUUGUUGCAUAUCUGCUCUUAUGUCAUUCAGAGUAUAAAUUCUCUUGUCUUGAAUAUAUUUAUCUGCGAUAAUAUGACCGACAACCUAGCUCCUGACUUGAUGACGUCCAGCAACCAAUACCUCAUUAUGACAAGUGCGUACAUUAUCAAUUCUCCGCACCACCCAAGGAACAUUUUCCUCGUUCGAACAUCUAGUUGCUCGAAUACGCCAUUUACAUGAUUCUGAACUACAGUGAGCCUCGAAACGUGUCGUAGUAGACCGUGCAAUCUUGAAAUCAAACUUAUCCCGAAAGGCAACCUUGCGUAGUUGUAAUAUAAACUCAUUCUUCUCAGCAAAUAGCUUACCCACACUGAUAUCAUCUGAGUCACAACUGCUAACAAAACUUGGAGCAACCAUGUUCGAAGGCAAAGUUGGAGCAAGACUUGUGAGAGGGUCAAUUCUCCUUCUCGAUCGAACCAUUGCUAGAAUAGGUCUAUUGCCUCUAUUAUUCGCAGGAGUAUUGUCUUCACACUCAUCCUCAUGCUGAAACGACGGAACAUUCGAAGGACCGGCUCCUCCAUCAUCACCAUCAUUAUUGAAAUGCAUCAUCUAUGUUGUCAUAAUUAUCGUGGAUUGGACAGUAAUAUUGCUGCAGUGAUAUUGUCCUUGGCAACACCUCUUCUUCAUUAUCGGGGCCAGACAUAUUUGCUCUAAACGAAGUUUCUGUAUCGACAUGUGGCUCAAUACCUUCACUCGGAACUCGAUGUGAUGUGGUAACGAAUAUAGGAAUGCAUCUAAAAUUAGCUACGUCGGAUGUCAUAUGUAACACAACCCUCACCAUUUCGUCAUCAAAUAUAUCCAUGGGCAGUGCACAUACACGAUAUAAUGUGUUACUAGACCUUAAAGUUGUCUUCAUUGUAAUACUAUAUUCAUUAGGAUUAAUUUGUAACACAUCGUAUACUCUUGUGAAAAACUGAUCAAACGAACAAUUUUUCCUAACAAAAAAAUUAUAUUUUUACCAUUCACAUACUCCACAAGGUCAUCUUCUAAUGUCUCCCACCAAUCAUCAUAACACAAUUCAAGCACAACUGAAUCCAUUAAGUCUGUAAAAAAAACUCUAUUUUUACCAUUGACAUACUCCAUACGCCCAUCCUCUAAUGUCUCCCACCAACCAUCGUAACACAAUUCAAGUACAACUGAAUCCAUUAAGCAUGAAAUUAUAAAAAAAAUAAAUUAUUUGAGCCAUAUCAAAUUAAUAGCUAAUUGCAAUGAAUCUGACAACCUGUCGCCAGAUUCACCCACGAAAUCAUCCGUAGUUCAGUCAAACUCACGAGCAAGAAAAUAACUCAUACCACUAUGUGAUGCCGAUUAGUGUUGGAUCCGGAUAAAUUAUGAUCGGAUUUCACUUUUUAUCGUUGCCUUUUGCCGUUGCCGUUGGUUGAUGAUUCAAGAGUGAAAGCUGCCUUUGGUUUGACGAAAGGGGAGAAAGAAUGUUGCUUUUGGUUUGUAAAGAAGGGUAAUUUGGGGAGAAAAGCAUGUGUUUGGCUAAUGUUGAUAGAAAAAAGUUGAGAGGGUUAAUUGUGAAAAUAACAAAAAUUUUAUGGUUAUUUUUGUAAAUUUCCCAUUCCAUUUUGUCCAUGCGAUGAUUCAGAAGAAGUGGCCAACUUUUUCAUAUCUAUCAAAUUCAGAAUGCUUCUUCUGAGUGUAUUUCUGAGCCAUUUGUCGUUGCUGCUUCUGCAGUUGAUUUUUUUCAGGGGUUAUUGGUGAGUGGUGCUAGUUAGCUUCAGCAAUCUGACUUUGAUUUUAUACCUUCUCUAGUGAUUACGAAGGAUGAUAUGGAUUUGUAUAGGAAGCCAGAUAUGGAUGAGGUUAGAUAAGUGGUUUUCUCUAUUGAUCCUAAUAAUGCUCUAGGUCCGGACAGGUUUCGCAGUCGAUUUUACUAGUCUUAUUAAGAUAUUAUUAUCAGUAACGUAUUGGAGGUUGUCCUCGAUUAUUUCAGAGGUUCGCUAUGCCUACAAGUUUUCAGAGUAUGUUGUUGGUUUUUCUUCUUAAGGAACCCUCCCCAGCUUUUUGGGUAGAUUUUAAACUGAUCGGUCUAUGUAAUGUGAGCAACAAGGUUCUGACCAAGUUGCUUGUGCUAUGAUGGGCCUUUCUUUUACCUCGUAUUACUUCUUCUUCUUAGAGUGGUUUUGUCCCUGACAGAGUGAUCCACGAUAAUAUGCUUUUGGUUCAUAAGUUGGUUCUUGACUUCAACUGUUGUUCCUGGGGAAGCAAUAUGGUGCUGAAGCUUGAUAUGGCUAAAGUUUAUGAUUAUAUGUCUUUUUCUUUCAUUAUUUAGAUGCUGCAGUAUUUUGGUUUUCAGGGUAGUGGGUGCUUUUUAUUCGGCGAGCUAUCUAUGGCCCUUGGUUCUUGACGUUGGUGAAUGGGGUCAGCCUCAGCAUUAGGGAGGUCCUAGGCAAGGUGAUCCUUUUUCCCCGAGUUUGUGUAUCAUUAUUGCUAAGUCUUUAUCUUAGAGCUUAGAUCGUUUGUACUCUCAGUAUCCUUUUGUGUGGUAUUGUUUUGUUGCGCCUAUUGUUGUCUCUCAUUUAAGCUUUGCAGAUGAUGUUGUUAUUUUUGUAAAUGAGAGUUUUGAGUAGUUGAUUAGUCAGACUAUGAGUAAUUUUUAUAUUGAAGGCUCAAUUUCUACCUCAUACCAGGCUAUUAUCCAUUUUGUCACUAAUAUCGAUUACUCUGAGAUGAGGUGUCUGAUUUACUGGUGUAAAUGACCAUUAGUUUGUUAUCUGGUUAAGGUGGCCUAGGUAUCCGGUCUUUUGAUAGAUGAUUGAGGCUUUUCAGCUCAAGCUUUAGCGACGUUUUCAGGAGCAGAGUUUGUUAUGGGCUUCUUUUAUGAAGUCUAAGUAUUGUAGAGCUAUACAUCUGAGUCUGAUUCAGAUUUAGUUUUGAUAUUCUGCCCCCUCUCUGGAGAUGCCUCUGCUCAAUUCAAUAUGUUGCUGGGCCUCAUGUGCUUUGGUUGGUUGGUCGUAGGCAGUGUAGUUUUUAGUAUAAUUGUUGGUGGAGCUCCUGUCCUUUGGUCAUUUAUAAUGACUUCUGUGGUGUCGGUUUCUUUUUAUUAAUGGGGUAUAGUCUCGGAUAAAGGUACGCUCUAGGAUAUGUUGCCUUCUUUCACUGUUGAGCAAAUUUUAUUAGCUUCUAUUUCUAAUGGGGAGCCGAAUUUGAUUUAAUAGGAUCUUGUGCCUUAUGGCUUGCUUCACUUGCGGAUGGCUUAAGAACUUGUGGUUGUUCUAGGCCGAAGGAUAAGGUUUUUUCAAUUAUUUGGCAGUGGUAUAUCCAAUCUCGGAUUUUUUUUUUGGCAAUUAUUACAUAUGUUUUUUACUAUUGAUGAUGCCUUAUGCUCGAAGGAUUUUUGCAUGGUCUCUUGGUGUGUUUGUGGUUGGCCUGCUAAGACUUCUCGACACUUAUUUAUUGAUUGCCCAUAGGUUAGCCAGGUUUGAACAUGAAAGGAUGCGGUCGUCUAACUCGACUUCUGCAUUGAGUCUCAUUACAGCUUUCCCCUGCAAUCAUAGUUAAUUAACUCUUACUCUUUUUUUUUUCCUUUGUUUCUGCUAUGGUGAUGAAAAAUCAAAUUCUGACUAUAUUUAUUCCUUUUUCUACUUCCAAGUGCAGGGAUUUUGGAUAUAAGAGAUGUUGCUUUUUUUACCCCCAAUGCUUUGCUUUUUCCUUGGUGGCUGUGUGCCCCUCCUUGGAGUCAUCUUUAGAUCCUUAUGCCUUACUUUAUUUUGUGGCAAGUUUGAAAGGCGCAUAAUGCUUUCAGGUUUGAUUUGCAGUCUUUCUCUAUUGAUGCAGUUAUCUAUCAAGUGAUAUUAGAUCUCAAGCUUUUAUUUUUGCUUUUGGUUUUAAACCUUCCCGGCUGAGGGGUGUUUUGGGUUCUCAAAUUGCAGAGGGUUUGCAAGUUAUAGCUCCUCCUAGGAGACCGAUUCCAUUUGUUUCUUGGAUGACACCUCUUAGGGUUGUGAAGCUAAUUGCGAAUGGUUGCUUUAAGGGAAAUCCUAGGAUGGCUACUUUGGUCGAUAUCCUCACAGAUUAUCGAAGUGCAGUUUUGGCUGCUUUUGGAUAUUUUCUUGGUUGUCGACCAAUUCCUCAUGCAACAUUUAUGGCUAUUUGUAAGGGGUUGGAGCUUGCUGCUCAGCUUACUUUGCACUUGAAGUAGAGUCGGACUCGACCACUUUCAUUUCUUAGAUUUAUUACCGAGGUCCUGCUCACUGGGAUUAUGCUUGUUCUUUGCCUCAGGUGUGCGCUUUGACAUGUUCCUCUCCUAUUUUGGUUAGGCAUGUACUUCGUGAGGCUACUUCUGCUGCUGAUUUUUUGGCCAAUUGGGCCUACACUCAUUGGGUUAGUCAGUGUUUCUUGUGUUCUUAGGAUCUUCCUGCAGGCUUACUUAAUAUUCUUUAUUUGGAUGCGUACGUUGUUCCUUAAAGUCAGACGCUAGCAUUGUUGGCUUUCUUUUUACUUUUGAUGAUUUUAUUUUUUUCUUUUUAUUCUUGUGUAUUUACAUUUACUUUUAAAGGUUUUGGUUUAUGUCACCCUUCUUAUAUUUUUGCUUCAUUACUAAUUACAGGCAAGAGUCCUGCUUAACCCUUAACCUCUAGGUGAUUUUUAUGAAAAAAAAUUACUAACUACACAUGCCACUAGCCACUAGGCUUGUAACUCAAUGGUGAAUUUUCGUUUCACCAUGAUAAGGCUUGUAGUCUAAGCCACAUGUGGAUUAAUUUUGACAAUUCCUUUAAGAAAAUGAAUAAAUAAUAUUUACAACUGUAUGUAUUCAAAAACUCUAAAAUAACAUAUAGAUUAUAAUAUAUCUGUAGAUAGUAAAUUAGUAACAAAUUUAAAUAAAAGGGUAAAAGUUCGUUUAGUCCCUAUAUUUUGAAGUUAGUGUCCGUUUAGUCCCUAUAUUUUUAAAAAUACCUCAAAUCAUCCCUAUCAUUAAAUUAUUGACACUCUUGACAUUAUCUUUUGUUGUUUUUAACUUAUUUUUACAAUAUUACCUUAUUAUAAUAAUUUUUUUAGACAUUAUUAAAAAGAAAAAAAAAUUACCAGUUUAACACCAAAAAAUAAAAAAAUAAAAAAAUAAAAAUAUAUAUUAAUUUUUGUGGAACACUCUCUUGAGUUGAAAUAUUAAUUUUUCUAAAAAAAUUGAUAAUGUAAUUUUUUACAAUAUUAAUUUUUUAGACAUAUGUGAGCUUCCACAAAAAUUACUAUAUACCUUUUUUUAUUUUAUUUUUGAGUUUAAUUUGAUAAUCUAAUUUUUUAUUAAUAUAAAAAAAAUUAUUAUAAGAGUGUAAUAUUAUAAAAACAAGUUAAAAAGAAUAAAAAAUAAUGGCAUAAGUGUCAAUAUUUAGCAGCAUGGACAUUUUGAGGUAUUUUUAAAAAUAUAGGGACUAAAUGGACACUAACCUCAUAAUAUAGGGACUAAACAAGCUUUUACCCUAAAUAAAAUACAUACACAUAUUACAUAACUUUAAUUUUGAAAAAUGAAAAAAACACCAAAACAGAAGCAAAGUAUUUUUCAUGAAGUCACACAUUACAUUGUGCAUAUAGAUAAAAUACAUACACACAUUACACAACGUUGAUUUUCCAGUAAGCAGAUACAUUGCGCAUUUUAUGAGAGAAAUCUGA